rnacentral:rRNA from 1 species
CACGUAGGGCGCGAGCGUUGUCCGGAAUUAUUGGGCGUAAAGAGCUCGUAGGCGGUUCGGCAAGUCGGAUGUGAAAUCUCCACGCUUAACGUGGAGGGGCCAUUCGAAACUGCUGUGACUCGAGUCCGGUAGGGGAGAGUGGAAUUCCUGGUGUAGCGGUGAAAUGCGCAGAUAUCAGGAAGAACACCCGUGGCUAAGGCGGCUCUCUAGUACGGUACUGACGCUGAGACGCGAAAGCGUGGGGAGCGAACAGG